rnacentral:rRNA from 1 species
GACGUAGGGGGCCAGCGUUGUUCGGAAUUACUGGGUGUAAAGGGUUCGUAGGCGGUGUGGCAAGUCGGGAGUGAAAUCUCUGGGCUCAACCCAGAGGCUGCUUCCGAAACUGCUGUGCUUGAGUGUGGGAGAGGCGCGUGGAAUUGCAGGUGUAGCGGUGAAAUGCGUAGAUAUCUGCAGGAACACCCGUGGCGAAAGCGGCGCGCUGGACCACUACUGACGCUGAGACGCGAAAGCGUGGGGAGCGAACAGG